rnacentral:rRNA from 1 species
CAGAAGAGGACAGUGGAACUCCAUGUGUAGCGGUGAAAUGCGUAGAUAUAUGGAAGAACACCAGUGGCGAAGGCGGCUGUCUGGUCUGUAACUGACGCUGAGGCUCGAAAGUAUGGGUAGCAAACAGGAUUAGAUACCCUGGUAGUCCAUACCGUAAACGAUGAAUGCUAAGUGUUGGAGGGUUUCCGCCCUUCAGUGCUGCAGCUAACGCAUUAAGCAUUCCGCCUGGGGAGUACGGCCGCAAGGCUGAAACUCAAAGGAAUUGACGGGGGCCCGCACAAGCGGUGGAGCAUGUGGUUUAAUUCGAAGCUACGCGAAGAACCUUACCAGGUCUUGACAUACUAUGCAAAUCUAAGAGAUUAGACGUUCCCUUCGGGGACAUGGAUACAGGUGGUGCAUGGUUGUCGUCAGCUCGUGUCGUGAGAUGUUGGGUUAAGUCCCGCAACGAGCGCAACCCUUAUUAUCAGUUGCCAGCAUUAAGUUGGGCACUCUGGUGAGACUGCCGGUGACAAACCGGAGGAAGGUGGGGAUGACGUCAAAUCAUCAUGCCCCUUAUGACCUGGGCUACACACGUGCUACAAUGGAUGGUACAACGAGUUGCGAACUCGCGAGAGUAAGCUAAUCUCUUAAAGCCAUUCUCAGUUCGGAUUGUAGGCUGCAACUCGCCUACAUGAAGUCGGAAUCGCUAGUAAUCGCGGAUCAGCAUGCCGCGGUGAAUACGUUCCCGGGCCUUGUACACACCGCCCGUCACACCAUGAGAGUUUGUAACACCCAAAGUCGGUGGGGUAACCUUUUAGGAACCAGCCGCCUAAGGUGGGACAGAUGAUUAGGGUGAAGUCGUAACCAAGGUAGCCGUA